rfam:Brachypodium distachyon strain Bd21 chromosome 4, whole genome shotgun sequence.
AUAUUACUUCCUCCGAUACAUAUUAAUUGUCUCAAAUUUGUCCAAAUAUGAAUGUAUUUAUGCCUAAAAAGCGUCUAAAUACAUGUAAUAUUACGGCAAUUAAUAUGGAUCGGAGGGAGUAUAAU